UCCCCCUACGGGACGCAGCAGUGAGGAAUAUUGGUCAAUGGGCGGAAGCCUGAACCAGCCAAGUCGCGUGAGGGAAGAAGGCCCUGCGGGUCGCAGACCUCUUUGGACGGGGAGCAAGGCCGCCGACGUGUCGGCGGAAGGAGAGUACCCGUAGAACAAGCAUCAGCUAACUACGUGCCAGCAGCCGCGGUAAUACGUAGGUGGCAAGCGUUAUCCGGAUUUACUGGGUGUAAAGGGCGUGUAGGCGGGGACGCAAGUCAGAUGUGAAAACCACGGGCUCAACCUGUGGCCUGCAUUUGAAACUG
rnacentral:rRNA from 1 species